rnacentral:rRNA from 1 species
GAUAAACGCUAGCGGCAGGCUUAACACAUGCAAGUCGAGGGGCAGCAUAGAUUGUAGCAAUACAAUUGGUGGCGACCGGCGCACGGGUGCGUAACGCGUAUGCAACCUACCCGUCACAGGGGGAUAAUCCGGAGAAAUCUGGUCUAAUACCCCAUAACAUAUGGAUCGGCAUCGGUCCAUGUUGAAAUUUUCGGAGGUGACGGAUGGGCAUGCGUAGCAUUAGCUUGUUGGUGAGGUAACGGCUCACCAAGGCGACGAUGCUUAGGGGGACUGAGAGGUUUUCCCCCCACACUGGUACUGAGACACGGACCGGACUCCUACGGGAGGCAGCAGUGAGGAAUAUUGGUCAAUGGGCGCAAGCCUGAACCAGCCAUGCCGCGUGCAGGAUGACGGCUCUAUGAGUUGUAAACUGCUUUUGUACGAGGGUAAAGUGGGUUACGUGUAACCUUUUGAAAGUAUCGUACGGAUAAGGAUCGGCUAACUCCGUGCCAGCAGCCGCAGUAA